UAACACUAACUGGAGGACCGAACCGACUAAUGUUGAAAAAUUAGCGGAUGACUUGUGGCUGGGGGUGAAAGGCCAAUCAAACCGGGAGAUAGCUGGUUCUCCCCGAAAGCUAUUUAGGUAGCGCCUCGUGAAUUCAUCUCCGGGGGUAGAGCACUGUUUCGGCAAGGGGGUCAUCCCGACUUACCAACCCGAUGCAAACUGCGAAUACCGGAGAAUGUUAUCACGGGAGACACACGGCGGGUGCUAACGUCCGUCGUGAAGAGGGAAACAACCCAGACCGCCAGCUAAGGUCCCAAAGUCAUGGUUAAGUGGGAAACGAUGUGGGAAGGCCCAGACAGCCAGGAUGUUGGCUUAGAAGCAGCCAUCAUUUAAAGAAAGCGUAAUAGCUCACUGGUCGAGUCGGCCUGCGCGGAAGAUGUAACGGGGCUAAACCAUGCACCGAAGCUGCGGCAGCGACGCUUAUGCGUUGUUGGGUAGGGGAGCGUUCUGUAAGCCUGUGAAGGUGGCCUGUGAGGGUUGCUGGAGGUAUCAGAAGUGCGAAUGCUGACAUAAGUAACGAUAAAGCGGGUGAAAAGCCCGCUCGCCGGAAGACCAAGGGUUCCUGUCCAACGUUAAUCGGGGCAGGGUGAGUCGACCCCUAAGGCGAGGCCGAAAGGCGUAGUCGAUGGGAAACAGGUUAAUAUUCCUGUACUUGGUGUUACUGCGAAGGGGGGACGGAGAAGGCUAUGUUGGCCGGGCGACGGUUGUCCCGGUUUAAGCGUGUAGGCUGGUUUUCCAGGCAAAUCCGGAAAAUCAAGGCUGAGGCGUGAUGACGAGGCACUACGGUGCUGAAGCGACAAAUGCCCUGCUUCCAGGAAAAGCCUCUAAGCAUCAGGUAACAUUAAAUCGUACCCCAAACCGACACAGGUGGUCAGGUAGAGAAUACCAAGGCGCUUGAGAGAACUCGGGUGAAGGAACUAGGCAAAAUGGUGCCGUAACUUCGGGAGAAGGCACGCUGAUAUGUAGGUGAAGCGACUUGCUCGUGGAGCUGAAAUCAGUCGAAGAUACCAGCUGGCUGCAACUGUUUAUUAAAAACACAGCACUGUGCAAACACGAAAGUGGACGUAUACGGUGUGACGCCUGCCCGGUGCCGGAAGGUUAAUUGAUGGGGUUAGCGGUAACGCGAAGCUCUUGAUCGAAGCCCCGGUAAACGGCGGCCGUAACUAUAACGGUCCUAAGGUAGCGAAAUUCCUUGUCGGGUAAGUUCCGACCUGCACGAAUGGCGUAAUGAUGGCCAGGCUGUCUCCACCCGAGACUCAGUGAAAUUGAACUCGCUGUGAAGAUGCAGUGUACCCGCGGCAAGACGGAAAGACCCCGUGAACCUUUACUAUAGCUUGACACUGAACAUUGAGCCUUGAUGUGUAGGAUAGGUGGGAGGCUUUGAAGUGUGGACGCCAGUCUGCAUGGAGCCGACCUUGAAAUACCACCCUUUAAUGUUUGAUGUUCUAACGUGGGCCCCUUACCGGGGUUGCGGACAGUGUCUGGUGGGUAGUUUGACUGGGGCGGUCUCCUCCUAAAGAGUAACGGAGGAGCACGAAGGUUGGCUAAUCCUGGUCGGACAUCAGGAGGUUAGUGCAAUGGCAUAAGCCAGCUUGACUGCGAGCGUGACGGCGCGAGCAGGUGCGAAAGCAGGUCAUAGUGAUCCGGUGGUUCUGAAUGGAAGGGCCAUCGCUCAACGGAUAAAAGGUACUCCGGGGAUAACAGGCUGAUACCGCCCAAGAGUUCAUAUCGACGGCGGUGUUUGGCACCUCGAUGUCGGCUCAUCACAUCCUGGGGCUGAAGUAGGUCCCAAGGGUAUGGCUGUUCGCCAUUUAAAGUGGUACGCGAGCUGGGUUUAGAACGUCGUGAGACAGUUCGGUCCCUAUCUGCCGUGGGCGCUGGAGAACUGAGGGGGGCUGCUCCUAGUACGAGAGGACCGGAGUGGACGCAUCACUGGUGUUCGGGUUGUCAUGCCAAUGGCACUGCCCGGUAGCUAAAUGCGGAAGAGAUAAGUGCUGAAAGCAUCUAAGCACGAAACUUGCCCCGAGAUGAGUUCUCCCUGACUCCUUGAGAGUCCUGAAGGAACGUUGAAGACGACGACGUUGAUAGGCCGGGUGUGUAAG
rnacentral:rRNA from 1 species